AUUGAACGCUGGCGGCAUGCUUUACACAUGCAAGUCGAACGGUAACAGGCCGCAAGGUGCUGACGAGUGGCGAACGGGUGAGUAAUGCAUCGGAACGUGCCCAGUCGUGGGGGAUAACGCAGCGAAAGCUGCGCUAAUACCGCAUACGAUCUAUGGAUGAAAGCGGGGGACCGUAAGGCCUCGCGCGAUUGGAGCGGCCGAUGUCAAAUUAGGUAGUUGGUGGGGUAAAGACUCACCAAGCCAACGAUCUGUAGCUGGUCUGAGAGGACGACCAGCCACACUGGGACUGAGACACGGCCCAGACUCCUACGGGAGGCAGCAGUGGGGAAUUUUGGACAAUGGGCGCAAGCCUGAUCCAGCAAUGCCGCGUGCAGGAAGAAGGCCUUCGGGUUGUAAACUGCUUUUGUACGGAACGAAAAGGCUCUGGUUAAUACCUGGGGCUCAUGACGGUACCGUAAGAAUAAGCACCGGCUAACUACGUGCCAGCCGCCGCGGUAAGAC
rnacentral:rRNA from 1 species